rnacentral:lncRNA from 1 species
CCAGAAAUGUAACAGUCCUUUGAGGAAGGCUGCAUCUGUGAUUAGUAUGAUUUAAUUGAUAGUUUGAAAGAAACUAAUGUAUUACUUCUGGGUAGAAAUGAUGUUUGCCUGUGGUUAGCCUGAAGCAAAUUUUAGGGAGGAAUUGUUCAUUUCUUUCCCCCUUUUGUGCUGACAAGCUAAGUGAUAUAUACGGAAAUUGUGUGCACUACUUGUGCCUUAGUCUGAGGAACUGCUUAUGGGCAAAUUUCAUUAGUACUUGAUUAGUACUUGUGCUAAUUAAGCCAGGCACAAUUUUGCCUCUGGUAUGAUGAGUUAAGGCUGGACUGAA